rnacentral:rRNA from 1 species
UACGGAGGAUGCGAGCGUUAUCCGGAUUUAUUGGGUUUAAAGGGUGCGUAGGCUGUUUUUUAAGUUAGAGGUGAAAUCCCGGUGCUCAACACUGGAACUGCCUCUGAUACUGGAAGGCUAGAGAAUAGUUGCUGUGGGCGGAAUGUGUGGUGUAGCGGUGAAAUGCUUAGAGAUCACACAGAACACCGAUUGCGAAGGCAGCUCACAAAGCUAUAUCUGACGCUGAGGCACGAAAGCGUGGGGAGCAAAC